UGCGUAGGCGGAUUGAUAAGUCAGUGGUGAAAACCUUCAGCUUAACUGGAGACUUGCCAUUGAUACUGUUAGUCUUGAGUACGGUCAAGGUAGGCGGAAUGUGUAAUGUAGCGGUGAAAUGCUUAGAUAUUACACAGAACACCGAUUGCGAAGGCAGCUUACUGGGCCAUUACUGACGCUGAGGCACGAAAGCGUGGGGAGCGAACAGGAUUAGAUACCCUGGUAGGUCC
rnacentral:rRNA from 1 species